rnacentral:rRNA from 2 species
AAACUUUCAACAACGGAUCUCUUGGCUCUGGCAUCGAUGAAGAACGCAGCGAAAUGCGAUAAGUAAUGUGAAUUGCAGAAUUCAGUGAACCAUCGAAUCUUUGAACGCACAUUGCGCCCGCCAGCACUCUGGCGGGCAUGCCUGUUCGAGCGUCAUU